rnacentral:rRNA from 1 species
CUAGUCGAAGCAGAAAAUGAUGAGUGUCAUAGAUUAGAUAUAAAUUUAUUCUAUAAAUGAAAGUGUAAGCACUCCACCUCAAGAGUAAUUUGGCAACAUUGGAACUGAAAUCAUUAGACCGUUUCUGAAACCAGUAGUGAAGUAUGUUGUUCAAUUAGAAAGCACGCAAAAAACCUUACCACAAUUUGAAUAUUUAUAUUUAGCAAGCAAACCAGACGGAUAUAUUUACAAGCGUUGCACGGCUGUCUUCAGUUAAUGUCGCGAGACUUUGGUUAGUUCCAUUAAAUUAACGUAAACCCUUACUUUAUUUUUACAUAAAGUAGUUCCCCGCUACACUGGAUAUGAUAACAGGGAUCAAGG